GUAGGUGGCAAGCGUUGUCCGGAAUUAUUGGGCGUAAAGCGCGCGCAGGCGGUUCUUUAAGUCUGAUGUGAAAGCCCACGGGCUCAACCGUGGAGGGUCAUUGGAAACUGGAGAACUUGAGUACAGAAGAGGAAAGCGGAAUUCCACGUGUAGCGGUGAAAUGCGUAGAGAUGUGGAGGAACACCAGUGGCGAAGGCGGCUUUCUGGUCUGUAACUGACGCUGAGGCGCGUAAGCGUGGGGAGCAAACAGGAUUAGAUACCCUGGUAGUCCACGCCGUAAACGAUGAGUGCUAAGUGUUAGGGGGUUUCCGCCCCUUAGUGCUGCAGCUAACGCAUUAAGCACUCCGCCUGGGGAGUACGGCCGCAAGGCUG
rnacentral:rRNA from 1 species